rnacentral:rRNA from 1 species
AGCUUAACGAGGCGAACCGGGGGAACUGAAACAUCUAAGUACCCCGAGGAAAAGAAAUCAACCGAGAUUCCCCCAGUAGCGGCGAGCGAACGGGGAGCAGCCCAGAGCCUGAAUCAGCAUGUGUGUUAGUGGAACGGUCUGGAAAGGCCGGCGAUACAGGGUGACAGCCCCGUACACAAAAGUGCAUGUGUUGUGAGCUCGAUGAGUAGGGCGGGACACGUGGUAUCCUGUCUGAAUAUGGGGGGACCAUCCUCCAAGGCUAAAUACUCCUGACUGACCGAUAGUGAACCAGUACCGUGAGGGAAAGGCGAAAAGAACCCCGGCGAGGGGAGUGAAAAAGAACCUGAAACCGUGUACGUACAAGCAGUGGGAGCCUCUUUUAUGGGGUGACUGCGUACCUUUUGUAUAAUGGGUCAGCGACUUAUAUUCUGUAGCAAGGUUAACCGAAUAGGGGAGCCGAAGGGAAACCGAGUCUUAACUGGGCGUUAAGUUGCAGGGUAUAGACCCGAAACCCGGUGAUCUAGCCAUGGGCAGGUUGAAGGUUGGGUAACACUAACUGGAGGACCGAACCGACUAAUGUUGAAAAAUUAGCGGAUGACUUGUGGCUGGGGGUGAAAGGCCAAUCAAACCGGGAGAUAGCUGGUUCUCCCCGAAAGCUAUUUAGGUAGCGCCUCGUGAACUCAUCUUCGGGGGUAGAGCACUGUUUCGGCUAGGGGGUCAUCCCGACUUACCAACCCGAUGCAAACUGCGAAUACCGAAGAAUGUUAUCACGGGAGACACACGGCGGGUGCUAACGUCCGUCGUGAAGAGGGAAACAACCCAGACCGCCAGCUAAGGUCCCAAAGUCAUGGUUAAGUGGGAAACGAUGUGGGAAGGCUCAGACAGCCAGGAUGUUGGCUUAGAAGCAGCCAUCAUUUAAAGAAAGCGUAAUAGCUCACUGGUCGAGUCGGCCUGCGCGGAAGAUGUAACGGGGCUAAACCAUGCACC